rnacentral:rRNA from 1 species
CACGUAGGGGGCAAGCGUUGUCCGGAUUUACUGGGGGUAAAGGGUUCGUAGGCGGUGUAGCAAGUCGGGAGUGAAAUCUCUGGGCUUAACCCAGAGGCUGCUUCCGAAACUGCUGUGCUUGAGUGUGGGAGAGGCGCGUGGAAUUGCAGGUGUAGCGGUGAAAUGCGUAGAUAUCUGCAGGAACACCCGUGGCGAAAGCGGCGCGCUGGACCACUACUGACGCUGAGGAACGAAAGCUAGGGGAGCAAACAGG